rnacentral:rRNA from 1 species
UACGUAGGGUGCAAGCGUUAAUCGGAAUUACUGGGCGUAAAGCGUGCGCAGGCGGUUUUGUAAGUCUGACGUGAAAUCCCCGGGCUCAACCUGGGAAUUGCGUUGGAGACUGCAAGGCUAGAAUCUGGCAGAGGGGGGUAGAAUUCCACGUGUAGCAGUGAAAUGCGUAGAGAUGUGGAGGAACACCGAUGGCGAAGGCAGCCCC